UGUGGCAGCACUGUCUCUGGUCCCCCAGGCUGACCGCCCAGUGGAGCGUCGACGACGAGGAGGAGGCGGCACGGGAACGGCGCCGGC
rnacentral:miRNA from 1 species